UGGGCUCGCGGCCUAUCAGCUUGUUGGUGAGGUAAUGGCUCACCAAGGCGUCGACGGGUAGCCGGCCUGAGAGGGUGACCGGCCACACUGGGACUGAGACACGGCCCAGACUCCUACGGGAGGCAGCAGUGGGGAAUAUUGCACAAUGGGCGAAAGCCUGAUGCAGCAACGCCGCGUGAGGGAUGACGGCCUUCGGGUUGUAAACCUCUUUUAGCAGGGAAGAAGCGAAAGUGACGGUACCUGCAGAAAAAGCACCGGCUAACUACGUGCCAGCAGCCGCGGUAAUACGUAGGGUGCAAGCGUUAUCCGGAAUUAUUGGGCGUAAAGAGCUCGUAGGCGGUUUGUCGCGUCUGCUGUGAAAUCCGGAGGCUCAACCUCCGGCCUGCAGUGGGUACGGGCAGACUAGAGUGCGGUAGGGGAGAUUGGAAUUCCUGGUGUAGCGGUGGAAUGCGCAGAUAUCAGGAGGAACACCGAUGGCGAAGGCAGAUCUCUGGGCCGUUACUGACGCUGAGGAGCGAAAGGGUGGGGAGCAAACAGGCUUAGAUACCCUGGUAGUCCACCCCGUAAACGUUGGGAACUAGUUGUGGGG
rnacentral:rRNA from 1 species